AGAGGGGCCAUUCUUUACAUAUUAGAGGCGCGCCGGUCCUUGUCUUCGCCUCCUCCUCUCGGGGUCCGCAUUCUUUUCCGCUCCCCUGCCCCCUCUGGUUUGAAGCAGGCAAACCCACAGGAUGUGGGGGACUGCGCUCCUCCGGAGAAGGAAGAUUUGAGCGUGCACACAGCCUGAAACCUGGGGCUAACAUACUGGUAGCAGACCAGGAGAGGAACUAUCCCAGAGGUUUUCAAAAUUUUAAAGGCCGUCCAAUCCGGCGGGCCAGUGCAAGUUUACAAUCAGCGAAACCGCCCUAAUGGAGGCACAAGGUCUGAGAACCACCCCCACCCCUCCCAACUCGGGCCACCACCCUCUUUGCUAUAAAACACUUCGUAAUCCCUAAAAGAGCUGGCUGGCUGGCUGAACUCGGA
rnacentral:lncRNA from 1 species